rnacentral:rRNA from 1 species
CCCUUAGAUGUUCUGGGCUGCACGCGCGCUACACUGAAGUUAUCAACACGUUUUCCCUCCCUGAGAAGGGCGGGUAACCUUUUGAAUCAGCUUCGUGGUAGGGAUCGGGGCUUGCAAUUGUUCCCCGUGAACCAGGAAUUCCUAGUAGACGCGAGUCAUAAGCUCGCAUCGAUUAAGUCCCUGCCCUUUGUACACACCGCCCGUCGCUACUACCGAUUGAACGUUUUAGUGAGGCAUUUGGACCGACGCAUCUCAGUUUAACCGCUGGUUUGUGUUGGAAAGACUUCCAAACUUGAGCGUUUAGAGGAAGUAAAAGUCGUAACA